rnacentral:misc_RNA from 1 species
UUGCCGGCUUCUUUACGAGGUCAGCUCCCCUUAAAUGCAUUAGCUGGUGCCCCGCGUGGACCAUCUAUUGGUGUGAUAAUUAUCUACGCCGUGGAUGUCUGCAAAUCAUAUGGGCUUUGCACUGCUUCUAACCGUCUGUUCAUUCAGACAAUAUAUGACAAUUUGACCUCAAAUCAGGUAGGACUACCCGCUGAACUUAA